rnacentral:lncRNA from 1 species
CUAUCACAACGGCAUCCUCUGGAGAGAGGAGACGCUACGAGCGUAUGGGGCUAAUUACAUGUAACACAACAUCUUUCAGGAAGUCUAGGACUGCAUUAGUGUCAAAGAGCGGUUCUGGGCCGAGUAACAUUACAGGAUGAAGGGGAAUGUGCUGCCGGUAUGCUAACGGAAAAUGUUUCUUUCUGUCAAAUUCGGCUUUCCGACACUCCAGGAGGACAUGGAGGACGGUCAGCCUCUCCCCGCAUCUCCCACAGGUUGGGGGCUCAUUUCCAGUAUCUGUUGUCCACACAGUUCUAAGCAAGGAUCCGGAACCAGGCCUCUCUUUCUUGUAAACAGAACACAAGAACUCUUGUGAGGAUUGA